AUGCGGAGUACUUCUUUUACGGAGGGUUUAAGAUUCUUCAGAAUAUUUGUGUUACCCUAUUUAUCCAUUGAAUUCGACAUUCGAAAUGAGUUAAUAAUCGUAAAUAAGUUUGUUUAUCUGACUUUAUCUUAAAGAAUGUAGAAAUAGAAGUGCAGUGGUAGUUCGAAGAUAACCAUACUGAAUGAUACGAUGUCUGCCAAACAUGAGUCCACAUAAUUCUAUCC